AUUGAACGCUGGCGGCAGGCCUAACACAUGCAAGUCGAGCGGCGCGGCGAACGGGUGAGUAAUGCCUAGGAAUCUGCCUGGUAGUGGCGGAUAACGUCCGGAAACGGGCGCUAAUACCGCAUACUCUCAGAUGAGCCUAGGUCGGAUUAGCUAGUUGGUGGGGUAAAGGCCUACCAAGGCGACGAUCCUUAACUGGUCUGAGGGGGUGAUCAGUCACACUGGAACUGAGACACGGUCCAGACUCCUACGGGAGGGAGCAGUGGGGAAUAUUGGACAAUGGGCGAAAGCCUGAUCCAGCAAUGCCGCGUGUGUGAAGAAGGUCUUCGGAUUGUAAAGCUCUUUAAGUUGGGAGGCGGUACCAACAGAGUAAGCACCGGCUAACUACGUGCCAGCAGCCGCGGUAAGUC
rnacentral:rRNA from 1 species